CUAUCCGUUUAUCCUAGUAGUAAAUUGUAAUGUGAGUUGAUAGGAAGCAGGAAGUAGACACCGACCACGUGUUCACGCGCAUUAGAAGAUGCCAAGAUGCAACUCAACAGUGUAAUGCAAGUUGAAACUACUACAGAAGAAAACAAAACCCACACAACAAGGUCAUAAAACCAAACCAAAUCAAACCAGUACAGCACAGCACACCACCGACCAUCUGACUCAGUCCUCGUCAGCUCCCCCAUCUCACACCAUUCAACCCUUCAAGUGUCUCACUAGUACAACUACUACUUAUUAAUCUCAUUUCAAUUGACUCAUCAAUUAUGAUUACAAAUAAAAAAUAAUUGAUUUUUAAAUACUAACUGAUUUGCUAAAUAAAAACUUAGACUUAAAGCUUUGAUUCAAACGCCUUUAUUCAUUUUUACGCCUUGUUUGAAACAUUCUCAAUAAACUAUUCCUUACUUAAUUAAUUAGUCUUACUUAGCUCCCUUUGACCUCGUGUGUCAAACAAGUACCUCUCCCUCAACCUCCAUCUCCAUUAUUCCUAUAUAUAAACAAAUCUCCACAACUUCUUUUCCUUCAUCAUAGUCACAACAAAUCAUCCUUACAAACACAAACAACAGCAACAUGAACAUCAAAAACAAAAUCAACAACAAAAACAAACUCAAACUCAGAUCUGGAUUUUUUGUGUGAUAUUUUUUACAUUUACAAUAAAAACAUAAAAACAUAAAAAAACACUAUCAUAAUUAUUACGGAUCCAAUGAUAUUUUUUACACAAAUUUUAAAUACUAAAAUAUGAAGAGGAAGAAAAGGAAGCAUAAAAAAACACUCAUAAUUCUUCCGGAUCCAAUGAUAUUUUUCACACAAAUUUAAGAGGAAGAACUUCCUCCACCGGAGCUACUUCCUCCACCGGAGCUUCCUGUGCCGGAGCUUCCUCCGCCAGCUGAACCUCUGUCGCCGGUGUUGCUCUCUUCUUUCGUGCCCAGUAGAUGAGCACGGCCAUUAACAUGGCCACUACCGCCGUAGAAGAUCAUAGAGACAAACCAUUUUAGCAUGGUGGAAGAUAGGGUCGGCUCCGCCAGCUACACCUCUGUCGUCGGUGUUGCUCCCUUCUUUCGUGCGCAGUAGAUGAGCACGGCCAUUAACAUGGCCACUACCGCCGAUGAUUGGGACAAGCCAUUUUGGCCGUCAUGGUUGAGAUCAGGGUGUUGAAACGUGACAUGGUGGAAGAUAGGGUCGGCGGCGGUGGUGUUUAGCGAGGCAGUGGUGGGCGAGGCAGUGGUGUUGGGAAAGGACAUUUUCGGAGGACUGUGGAAGAAUGAGGAUGAUGAGAAUGAGGAUGAUGAAAAUGAACAUGAUAUAUGUAUAUAUAUAGGAUGAAACCCAGAGGUAGAUGAGUUUGGAUGUUUCAUUAACUGAUGAGUGAGAGAAGGGGUUAUCAACAACAAAGUGUUUGAGCUUCUCCGAUUUAGCCAUUGCAAAAUUUGGAAGUGGACAGAAAAGGAAAAGAAAGAGAUGAAUAAGGAGUGGCUAUUUCUAUUUUCUUUAAUUCGUUACCAAUUGUGGAAUGGGAGUGGUUGCAACUGCACUGCACACUAUUAAACGUGCCUAAUAAAUUCAUUCAAGCUGGACCACAUGUAGUUCACUUCAAAAUAUAUCUGAAAAUUCUUCCUUUCACAAUAUUAAACAGCAAAAUGCACUUUAACAUAUAAAGGGGUAUGUAAAAGGCCACUAGAUCAUUUUAAAUUAAAUUAUCAACGGCGCAUAUAUAAUCUUAUAAAUGUUCACUUUUUUCAUCUUUGACUUUUUCCAUUUUUGAGUGAGAUUUGGAUGACAAAAAAGUUUGGAUAAAUAUAUAUAUUAUUCAGAAAAUUCCUUUGGAUGCAUUAGCCAUGGGAAUAUUUAAUAAUAUGAGAUGUCUUUAAAAUUGCUAAAAGAAAAUAUACUUAAGAAGGAGAGAAUAAUACUUAAGAAGGAUAGAAUAAUUAAUUAGUCAUUUUUAAUUUUAUAUAUGAUGUUUUAAUUUAUGAAAGUUGUCGUAGGAGAGUGUGAAAACUAUAUAUGCAUACUUCAAUUACAAGCAUUACUUUUUUCUUUUUAUU
rnacentral:lncRNA from 1 species